UACGUAGGGUGCAAGCGUUAAUCGGAAUUACUGGGCGUAAAGCGUGCGCAGGCGGUUUUGUAAGUCUGGUGUGAAAUCCCCGGGCUCAACCUGGGAAUUGCGAUGGAGACUGCAAGGCUAGAAUCUGGCAGAGGGGGGUAGAAUUCCACGUGUAGCAGUGAAAUGCGUAGAGAUGUGGAGGAACACCGAUGGCGAAGGCAGCCCCCUGGGUCAAGAUUGACGCUCAUGCACGAAAGCGUGGGGAGCAAACAGG
rnacentral:rRNA from 1 species